GGUUAAAUACUACCUAGUGACCGAUAGCGUAUAGUACCGUGAGGGAAAGGUGAAAAGAACCCCGGGAGGGGAGUGAAAUAGAACCUGAAACCCUGCACUUACAAGCUGUGGAAGAACAUUUCUUGUGUGACCGCGUACUUUUUGUAGAACGGGCCAACGAGUUACGUUAAGUAGCAAGGUUAAGCACUUAAGGUG
rnacentral:rRNA from 1 species